GCUCACCUAGCUCAGUUGGUAGAGCACUUCCUUGGUAAGGAAGAGGUCGGCGGUUCAAAUCCGCUGGUGAGCU
rnacentral:tRNA from 1 species